AUUGAACGCUGGCGGCAUGCCUUACACAUGCAAGUCGAACGGUAACAGGUUAAGCUGACGAGUGGCGAACGGGUGAGUAAUGUAUCGGAACGUGCCCAGUCGUGGGGGAUAACUGCUCGAAAGAGCAGCUAAUACCGCAUACGACCUGAGGGUGACAGCGGGGGAUCGCAAGACCUCGCGCGAUCGGAGCGUCCGAUAUCAGAUUAGGUAGUUGGUGGGGUAAAGGCCUACCAAGCCUACGAUCUGUAGCUGGUCUGAGAGGACGACCAGCCACACUGGGACUGAGACACGGCCCAGACUCCUACGGGAGGCAGCAGUGGGGAAUUUUGGACAAUGGACGCAAGUCUGAUCCAGCCAUGCCGCGUGCGGGAAGAAGGCCUUCGGGUUGUAAACCGCUUUUGUCAGGGAAGAAAAGGUUCUGGUUAAUACCUGGGACUCAUGACGGUACCUGAAGAAUAAGCACCGGCUAACUACGUGCCAGCCGCCGCCGGUAACAC
rnacentral:rRNA from 1 species